GACAGAGGAUGCAAGCGGUUAUCCGGAAUGAUUGGGCGUAAAGCGUCUGUAGGUGGUUCGAAAAGUCCACUGUUAAAAAUUGAGGCUUAACUUCAAAGAUGCCGUGGAACUUCAAACUAGAGUAUGGUAGGGGUAGAGGGAAAUUUCCAGUGGAGCGGUGAAAUGCGUAGAUAUUGGAAAGACCACCGAUGGCGAAGGCACUCUACUGGGCCAUUACUGACACUGGAGAGACGAAAGCUAGGGGAGCAAAU
rnacentral:rRNA from 1 species